CCGAGCUACUUUCCUCUAUCUUAUCCACAAGCUCCCUCUCCAGCCGCGGGGGCGCAGGACUCACGCAUGGCCUCCCCGCCGCUGCGUCCGCGCUGGUCCUCGAUCCUACGCGCGGGGCUCCCCGACCUUUGAUCCCCUCGCUUCAACGGCGGCGGCACCCUGUCCUUCCAUUGACCGCCCGAUUCCGGCCAACUCCUGCGCCUUCCCCGGGCUGCAGCUCACGGUAACGGAUCCCCUCGCCGCCCCCUACCGAUUCGCCCUGCAGCCGGUCUUCCUCGCCGCCCCGGCGUGCCCCUUGGCCACCGAGGAGAUGAGUUGCGCUGCCCGUGAGCACCUCUCCCGAUUCAUCUCUUUCCUCGCCCACAUGGGCCGCGCGAGUAGGAGCUCGCCGUCGGCCAUGGAUGCGGCCUAGAACUGCUACCGCCCAUGCCCUGCCAUGCGCCGACGGCCAUGGACCAGCCGCACGAGUAGGAGCACGCCACGGCGUGCGCGCAUGGAUGCGGCCGAGAACUGCUGCCGCCCCUGAACUGAAGCCGCGUGAUGCUGCUGCCGCUGGGGCGUGCUGCUGCUCGCCUCUCCAGUCCGCCGGUGCCUCUCACUCGGGUGGUGUCCCGGGCUGACGGUGAGGCACUGCGUGCGUCCGAGCUGCUGCUUGCGUCGCCUCGCGACCGCUGCUGGACCUGAGGGAGCCGCCGCGCGCGUCCAGGGGAGCAUCUGAGCAGCUCGCGUUUGAGCUGACGGCUACGUGCGCAACCUCUGAAUUCAGUGAUGCAAAAUUCUGGAGGCAACUACAUGUAUAUAGUAUUCAUGAAAGCUUUCAUUUGAAAGCUCAUAAGGUCAAUUUUGUUCCUUUUUCAUUUUUGUUCUUUCAUUUGAAAGCUCAUAUGGUCAAUUUUGGAGGCAACUACAUGUAAACAAAUUAUGGCACGCAGCACAAGUUUCUUUGUUUGUAAAUUAAGCAGUCUGGUAGAUUUGGAAAGGAGGAACAUGGUACUGAACUUUUAUAUAUCAGCAUAAGAUGUUUUCCUAUGCCUUGAGGAGUUGCCGAUGGAUAAUAUGCAGAGGCUACCAAGUGGUAGCUCCAAUCUUGCAAUUGAGGUCAGCAAUGGGUGCUUCUCCUGGGACGGCUCACCUGAGAUACCAACACUGAAGGAUCUGAGUUUUCAAGAUCAGCAAGGCAUGCGUGUUGCAGUCUGUGGGAUGAUCGGCUCUAGAAAAUCAAGUUUGCUCUUUUGCAGUCUGUGGGAUGACCGGCUCUCAGUGAGGUGCCAAAGCUAUUAGGUGAUCCCAAGACUUGCGGAACAAUGGCAUAUGCCAGCCAGACAGUAUGGAUGAAGAGCGGCAAAAAUUCAGGACAACAUACUGUUUGACAAGGAAAUGGAGAGUGAGAAGUAUGACAGGGUCCUUGUGUGGUGUUCGCUGAAGAAAGACUUGGAGAUCAAAGUCAUUUGAGAGUGAGGCAGCAAUCUUAGUGGUAGGCAGAAGCAAUGGAUUCAGAUAGCCUGAGCAUUGUAUCAGGGUGCCUUUUCUCGUGAGAUCUAAAGCACUCCCCCGACUUCCGUCCCCGCGAGAUCCGGAGAGGAAGUGCUGGCCUCCAGCCUCCGGCGGGGAAGCUGCUGCCUUCCAUGGCAAAAAAUACAAUUCCUCGCUGACCUCCCCAGUCAAGUCCCCCCUUCACGCUCAACCCCUCCUCUGCGUCGUGCAUCCUCGCCUUCCUCUCCCUAAACACAGACCAAGCCCUCCCCUAAACCCAAUCCCGUGGUACUAUUGCAUCUUGGUUUUGUGAAUACUAUUACAUCAUGAAAAGAAGGGGGACUGAUUAUUGGUUCAAAAUAAUUGGGGAGCAUAGAGAUGUGAGAGAUUGAGGGGUUUGGUUGGGGAUUUGUACCAUAUCAUGUUGAUGUGUAUUCCAUUAUUUAUUCUUUGCUCUGCUUGGGGCAAUUUUGUUGUACAGGGAGCUAUGAUUUGGAUCAAUUAUAUACUUAUAUGUGAUGUUCUUUCAUGCUUUUGAGGCUCCUGUUGAAGAGAUAAUUUUUAGCUAUUUGUACUGAUUAUUGCUACUGGUGUUGAUUGCAUUUAUUGUUGCUACCAUAUGCAGAUUGCCGUGAAUGUAUGAGAGAUUAAUACCAUUAUCCCAUGUGUGCAAUCUUUAAAUGGAUGGCUGAUGCUUGGUGUAUUCUUUUGUGUCAAUCGGAACAAACAAGGAGGGAGGGUCUGGCUCCAGUUCAUUGUAACUCAAUUAACAUAGUUCGACCACUCUGAAAAAGGUGAUGCUCUGUAGUAAGUUCAUUUAUGGUUGUGUGUGUUUCUAUUGAUGUGUUUGCCCUGUCUGUUCAUUGCAUAUUCAGUUGUUCGAAAAAGGGGUGUCAUUUGUGCCAAGUUAAUCAACUAGGGAAAGUAACACUUGAUCACAGGGUAAUAAAGUUAGUAGGUGUAUGUAAAGUUAUGUAGCUUCGUCAAACAGAUGUGAUGUUUUAGUUGUUGGUCAGUUAUAGCUGCUCUCCAAUGACCUUUUGAAUUCAACAUGUCAUCAGUCAAAUAUACAAGGAGGACACAGAACAAAUCAGAAAGAAUGUAGCAAGUUGUUAAAUCUGAUUUGCUGCUUUCAUUUUGUGGAACUCUAUAGCUUGUGAAAUAUUCAUGUGUUAUAUCUUGUACGCCUCUUGUGAUUUUACCAAUGGAGUUGGCUCUAGCUCUUGAAAAGAUGGUGAAUGAGAAGCUUCCCAACCUUCCCACUGUAAGUUUCUUCUUCAUGCCUAUUUACAAGGAAAAUUACUUUAAAAGUAUUUGUGUGUGUGUGUGUUUGGCCCACUGAAUUCCUAAUUAUUUAUCCGAACCAGUACAUGCAAACGUCUCACCAUAUCUAAAACGUUCAUCCCAAAUUUAACAGGUAGCAACAAUGUGAAAAGAUCCUCAGCUGAGCAUCUUCAUUGGGCAAUGGACAUGAGGCGCGAGGGGUGUUAAGAGGAAAUGGACUCUCUGGAGCUUUCUUACAGUGAGGACAGGAUCCCCUCUUGCCCAAGGUUAAAUUCCUCAACUAUCUAGCCCCGUGAUGCCAAUGGUUCCCUUCCAGUCUUCUCUUUAAAAUCUGUCAGCAGCAAGCUCUGUCUAAAUGUAUGGUACUUCUCUAAGGAGAUGUCACAGUAUUUUUAAUUUAAAUACCUGUUAUAGGUCCCUUGAGUGCUUAGCUGAAAUUUGCUGGUUUACUAGCUCUCUGAAAGGGUCAAAUCACUGUAGAGCAACUAUAGCAUGCAACUGCUAUAGUUGUAUAUAUAGUUUGUAUUUAUCACUAAGAUUGGUCAUCAAGAUGUUCUGCAUCAAAGGUGUUGGUAGUGCUACAGUUGAAAAAAUAAGAUGACUUUGUGGUGUUACUACUACCUGAGAAGUAGCAACCUCCCACAAAAGGCAUGCCAUUUUUUCUGUUUGUGUACUAUGUUUUGGGGAGCUAUAACAAAGUCGUUACUAUGGCAGAAAAAGUAGUACAGUAAAGCAUGUACCAGAUAUACUGGGAGAAAAUGCCACGUGAUAAAAGAACGACUUCAAAUGAAUGCAUAUGUCUUGAAAUGAACUUUUUAUCAUGUUGUGAUUGAUUACUGGAACUAUACUUAAUUUGUUAUCUUUUAGGCAGAAUAUAUGAUAUUGACAGGAUUUUUUUAUGUGAUACCGGAAGCAGGUAAAUUUCUUUUGUCAAUUGUCAUACACUAUUCUAACCUCCCGCCUGGCAGUAUCAUCUACAAUGAUGUUUUCACCUAGCUUGAUCUUCUGCAUUGCAUAUACUUCUAGUUUUUUAUAUGUAUCCUGUGUAUACUGAUUGUUUCCCUCUAUUGUGUGUAAGCCGAAUUUUCUAAUCGAUCCUAUUUUGUGUCGCAAUUCGGGGACUUAUUGGAGAUAUCAUCCUAUUGCCUACUAUCAA